ensembl:lncRNA
GUGUGUUGCUGGACCUUGUUCUUACAAACAAGGAAGGACUAGUUGGGGAUGUGAAAGCCGGGAGCAGCCUUGGAUGCAGUGACCAUGAGAUAGUGGAGUUCAGGAACAUGGAAAAAACAAGGUAAUAAGUAGGACUGGAACCCUGGACUUCAGGAGAGCCAAUUUUGACUUCUUCAGUGACCUUCUUGGAGGUAUUCCAUGGAUUAGAACACUGGAAGUAGAACAAGCAACCCACGAGAUUGAGCCAUUACGUCUGCAAGCAGAUCUGUAGCUACUUCCUGCAGCUGUCUGUGGUGUUUCUCAUUGGAUAUGUACCAUCUAGGAAUCGUUCUUGUGGAAAGGGCAAGACAAGAUGCUCUUCUAAGACAACGCGACUAAUACCACCUGGGAUUUCGGGGAGCUCCUGCAGGGGCCCAUCGUGGCUGCCGUCUGCCCAUUCUGAUGGACUCUGUGAGGAUCCAUAUCAGGCUGUGCUGGAGAAGAAAGCCUCCAGCAACUGCCAUGGCACUGGCAAGGCAGGGGCUGUGCUCUCAAUGUGCCUUCUCCAGAUGCUGGGCAUAUGGUCUUGUCCUGAGAGCUCCAAGAUAAUUUGGCUUAGCUCGCUCAGUGAAGGAUGCAGCUGGAGCAGAGAGUGUGGAGAGAGACUUACUGCACUUCCAGAUAACAGCCUUGCUGAGCUUGAUUGAUGGAUGCUGUUUAAUCUGCCAGACAGGCUGAAACUUAAGAAAUGGAGCAGAAACACGCAGCUUGGGCAAACCAUUUGUGUAUAGCAAGGACAUGCACAGUGUCAUUUUAGGCAGCGUUUGUGCUAGGAAGCCACUGUGCACAGACUUCCUCACCAGCACAGCUGGGCACAGAAGAGCUUUGGUCUGUGUGGCAGAGCAUUGUACGUGCUUUGGCCACCUUUGUCUAAGGAUGAGAUUUCUUUCCUCUUCCAAGCCUUUCCCUUUGCAAUUAUAUUACUGCAGCACAAGGCCAUGUACCUAGUCAUAAAAGCAAAUGUUUUUCAGUCGUGCCCCUGAAGUCUUCAGCAAGACCUUCUCAGAAGAUACGCAGAGGAUGGUUGAGUACAAGAGAAGUGUCCAAUAUUAAUUGCUGAGAUGAACUCAGAAGAUGUGGGCUCUGCUCCCUCAGGCUCUUGCUGACUGGUUGCAUGGUGCUGAGCACCUUCCUGGUCAAACCAGUGCCCUCCACACCUGCCUUGGACAUGCACUGCACGCAGUGUUCUCAGUGGAAAUGAUUGUAACAGAAAUAAUCUCUUCCAGGUAGGGUGAUUUACCCCAUGUAAUAAACUGGCUGCAGCUGGAGCACCUUAUUGCUAUUAAAAUCUUCAUCUUCACUUGGCUGUAGCUGUAGAGGCAAACUACACUAUGAUGUAAACAAGACUGGAGCUUGUACAACCUUUAAGACCAAGUGUAGCUAUUCCACUGCAGCUUGCCACUGCAUUGAGCCUGACAGCCUGAUCUGAAAGAACAGUUUUGGGACUUAGCAUAUAAAGAAAAAAAUUGUAGAGGACACAGUUCAAAUGACAACAACAACAACCAAACCUGAAGAAUUCAACACAUUUUUUUUUUACUGAAAGGAGUAUGGAGUUGGUAUAAGACUACUGCAUGUGUGAUAUACUCACCAAGUGUAUUCCAAUUUAACAGAGAGCAGUUAGAUUUGUUUUUCCUCUUAGAGGUGUUAAUAGACUCAAAUGUGGAAGAGGAGACAAACACAAGUUUGGCAAGUUCAGGUGAUGGUAAAUGAAGCAGGUUACGCUAAAGACAACCUCUUCUGUGCUGUUCAACUUUUCUUACACAGCACAGAGUGCACCUGGGUAUUGAGUACAAAACAAUGUAAACGAGCCCUUGCAAACUGUCUGUGCACAAGCUGGGAUAAAUCUCUUACAAGCAGAGGAAAAUACACCAAUGAUUUUGCCUCUGGAUAGAGAUUGCUAGCAGUUUUUGAGAUUUCCCCAGAUUCAGUCCCUGGUGAGAACACAGGUAUGAACAGUGUGUAUAAACAAAAUUUAAAGGUUUCCAUUAAAAGAAGAAACAUAGACUUGACAAAUACCCUAACACACGUGCCAAGGCAUAUAAAAUGCAUCUGAUGCAACAAAUGUUUCAUACCUUCUUCCUAUUUUCUAGAGUCAAUUUAUUUUCAAAUCCUUGCUUUAUACAUGCAGUGGAUGAAUUAAUGACUCUUGCUAUUUGAUGUAAAUUCUUGCCAUAGUUCGCUUCACAAUGGAUUUCCCCUCCUCUAGAGCAGUUGGUUCUGACUGAUGAUCUGUCUAGCUUCGGAGCAGAAAAUCCACAUGCUGAGGAAGCGGAGAUGGAGGAGCAGUCUUUGGAUUUUAGGAAUGGCCCUUUUGGGUCUGGAUCAAAGGCUUCCAGCCAAACAGCAUCAGGAAGCUUUGGCUGCUGCUGCUUCUGCAAUAGUUGUUUCCUGUGAUAGGGAGCAAGGCAUACACAAAGCAUCUGGUGCAUCCCAUCUGUGUGGGAGGGGAAGAAAGUUGCCCCAUGGCUGUCAGGCCAGUAUGCUUUGGCAUACAUGGAGGUGUAAAAAACUUGCUCUUGAAACUUCAGUAUUUUGGGUCUUGCUUAAUCUCUGUGUUCCAAAUUCAGCAGUAUCCUCAGUGAUUGCACUAUGAGUACUGGUAAAUAAAAAUUCUGUAACAGGGGAAACAUGAAAUUUCCAAUCAUUUUGCCAUUUUACAAAAGGGCAAUAAAAUGCUAGUAUCCCAUCUGAAAAAUAUUUAUUGAAUGUAAUGAGGAAGAAACCAGUGGGGAAAUUAAGUAGGGGUCUAUGGAAAUUAUCCUAUAUUCUGAGACAGGGUAAUACAAACUUCUUUACUGAACUUUCAAACCAUCCUGCAGAGUUUAACAGAGAACAGUUUUCUUUAGGUUAUGUUCUGACUUCUGUACUGUGUUCUCCAUUUAGUGGAGAACAUCAUUGUUCUCCAUUUAGUGUUUCUAUUUUUUUUGUUUUUGUUUACAAAGAGAUUGUCUAUAACAGCAUCAAAGCAAGCAGAUCAAGAAAAUAUGAUAUCAAGUGGCCUCUCUUCUCUUUUAAUUGUACUGCAAAAAUCUCCAGGUUCCUGGAACCAUGCUUAGCUCAUGUGGAAGCAGGUAUAAACAGUGAGUUCAAUGGAAACUAUAUGCAUUAUAGUACAAGUCGGUCAUCUUGCUUAUCAAAAAUAACUUUUGAAAUGUCUUAAUAUUGAAGCUUAUAUGGGACUAGGAUGUUUUGACUUUCUCAGUUUUACAUCACUUCUGAAGCAAUCAGUGGCAUCAGGUGACCACUGCUUGAUUCAGGACAGGAAUGCAAACCUGGUCUCCAAUAUCAAAAAAAAGUGUCUCAACGACUAUAAUAACAUGUAUGUUUACAGUUACGAUAAACCCCCUGAUAAGAUAUCUGGGAUCAGAUUAGAAAUACUUCAGCAACAUGAGAAAAAUAUCUCAAUUAUAAUGGGUCUAGUUUGUCUUGAGAAUAUUCUGGGGGUAACUUGAUCCUUAUGAUAGGUAUCUAGAGGCAUCUGAAUGAGGAGCUACGAGAUAUGGUUUAGUAGCUUGUGGUAGCAAUGGUAAUGGGAGGAUGGUUGGACUAGAUGACCUUGUAGGUCCUUUCCAACCUUGUGAUUCUAUGAUUUAAGGCUUGCCAACAGAGUUUGUGUUGGUCUCUGCCUGGAAUUACAUUCUCUCAAAGGAAAAUGCCGUAUUUGUUGGGCCACGCUAUCAGGGACCUUCUUGGUGAUCUUGAUGUGAAGCAGCUCAAACUUCACCACCACCACUGACAACAAUGUUGCCAUUCAGGCCAAAUCAAUGGCAUUAUGAUGGUUCUAUCCAAAACCGUUCUUUGAGAACAACAGAAAAACUAUUUUUUCUGGGUGUGGUCCACAGCAGCAUUGAUGGGAAACAAUCACUUUUUGAUGAAGAACACCUUAAAAGGUGCAAUGAUUGACAAAUCUAGCAAGUUGUCCUCCCCAAGACAGCGCAGUAUGGACCAAGCAGGAGUCUGGAGUACAACAAAGUUAAAGCACAAAUCCUGCAGGUGACCAGUAAGAAUGCCGAAAGUGAUAAAGGACCGUUUGAGGCAACAGCAAUGCCAGAAACUGGAUAUGUCUAAAAAUAAAAACAUUGUGCUGUUAUAAACAGGGUGUUUUACAGGACAGAAACGGCAUAUGCCCUUCAUCUAAAGACUGCUAUUUAUUUAUUUAUUUACCUUCAAGAGCUGCAACAGGCUUUGAGCAACAGAGGAGCAAGCGUCUGUUCAAGGAGGUUGAAAAGAAACCUUUGGAACAGAAAGAGCCUGGCUCCCGCAUGUUUCUUUGCCACCCUUUACAUGUGGAAAGGUCAGGAUCACAAGUCUCUGCAAGCUGACCCUGCGUAUUUCAGCUGCAAUCUUAUUUGGGAUUGUGAGGCUCUAUUGCUGGUUCCUAGGAGCACUGGCAAGUGAACAAGGUGUGCUUCUCACCGCACAGUCAUUUGUCACAACCCCAACAUGCUGUGGUUUGCAGGUGUAUGGUUUUGAGGAUGAAAUGGACUAGCAGUGCCUUCUACUACAGAGCCCAUGUUCCGUCUCUUGACACAGCAGUUCUUCGUGCUGCUUUUUUGGCUUGUGGUCCAUCCUAGUUCCCUUUACUCUAGGAAGCUUAUGUCCUCCUGUCUAUACUACUUCUAACUAUGCUAUGGGAAGCUCAAGAUAGCAAACACAGGCACUAUCAUUAAUUCCAAUCACUGUUUAUUAAAUUGAAAAAAAACCAAAAAAACAAAAGCAUGCAGAAAUGCAUACCAAAACAGACCUUCAUCUCAAUCCUCUACAACCUGUUGGAGGGGUUUUCAUCAAUCAAACACUGCAUCUCUGGCAAGACAUCAAGAGUGAUAAGUUUGAACUCCUGCUCAGCAAAGUGAAUCCACAUUCUUUACUUGCUAUGUUUCCUGAGAGAGCAGGCUUCCUGGAUGUUACACAGAAUCACUGACGUUGUGGCAUCGGACUCUACCUUUGCCCAUACCUUCAGCCUGCAUUAUCCAUAGUAAUGUCAAGGGGACUUUUACUAGCUUAGGUAAAUAAAUUCUUUCUCUUGACUUAGUUUGAUGUGGAUCAGUCUCUCUGUCCAGUACAAUGGUCAACAAUGCAGCCAGCCCCUGCUUGUCCUGCCUAACUGGACAGAGACACAAGUCUAUGGAAACUAUAUUUUCCAUUUUUAUUUCCAUCUUAUUUGGGGUCAUUCUCCCCCAUGCAACACUGAUAGGUGCUUGGGUGGCUGUGCAUCUUGCUAGGCAAACUACAGAUCCCCAUGGAUGUUUUACCAGUACCAGCUUUAAGAGGAGUAAGAGAUCAUCCUUGAUAAUGUCCUCCCUCACCAAGAAAGAACAACGUGAAGCUGAUCAUAGGUGCAUAUGUCUGUGUAAUGGCUUUAAAGAAAUGGGUAAAUCCCAUGAAAGUGAUGUUUACUACUGCUUCAUCCUACAUUAGCAGGUAGUAUAGGCUGAGCAUGGCUAUACAUGGCAUAAUCUCAGUGGUGGCUAUUGCCAGCAUCCCAGUAGCACAACCAGCCCUGAUUGCUCCUGCACAUCCCCUUGGGGCUCCCACAGAAAAAUAAUAAUAAUAAUAAUACAGGAGCUUAUCACAGUGCAGAGAUGGGAGUGGAGGAGAACAGAAGCAUGCAAGCAGCAGUAUUAUCCAGAGGGAUGCGCACCUCCCCAUGGGAAGCCCAAGGGCAGCUGAGCUGUGCACCUAGCCUAGCUGUGCAAAGGCUCACCAUCACUUCCCUGCCACGUGGCUGGCAAUGAGUGGUCCCAAGUGGUUUAUACUUAGAGAAUCCCCUCUUUGCAUUGGGAUGGUCUUGUUUUCAGUCCCAAAAUGCCCUGCAAAAUGAAUGAAUUGUUGUUUUCUAGCCAGCCUGAGUAGGAAACAUGGCUCACACAGUUGCUGGGAACUGGAAGAAACAUCCUGGUCUGCAGAGCAUAAAUUAGGAAAAUGCAUUCUUAUUCUCGUGGAUAUUCCUUGAGAAAAAGCCAACAGUGGGAGUGUGUUAGAGUGGUAAAAUGCAAUUCAUGACAACAGUCCCACUGAGAGGAGGAUUUUUUUUUUCCUUUAGUUGCUUCUAAUUGUGGUAAGGAGCAAACGCAUUCCUCUUUAAUUUCCAUUGGCAAGGUCUCCGGGACUGUGCGAGUGCCAAGAAGUGUGCUGUGGCUGGCUUUGCAUUUCCUCCUCUCUUCUUCCCCUCCUCCACCCCUCCCUCAUCUUAUGGGUAUUACAGCCAAUCCCUCUGCAAAUACCUUUUUCGCAGGCAAUGUAAGCACUCUCCCUCUUGUUUUUCUCCCUUCGAAACUCUGCUCUAUCUCUUUUGGCCAGCUGCAGCCUUCCUAGAGCAUCUUCUACCUGACAAAAGAAGAUACCUUUGAUAGUCAGACAUGAUGGUAAAGUUGAAACACAUGCUUGGUUCAGAUACCAAUGAACUUUAAUUUACCUCAAUUCAUUAGCAAUUUUUAAAACCACAGUUAAUGGAAGGCAGCCUGUAAAAUAAUUGGAAGUAAAUGAUGAAGGAGAAACUCUGGGGGGAGGAAGGAAGGGAAGCGGCUUACAGCAGGAGUCUAAGCCAGGCUUUCAUCUUCAGGGCAGUCCGGUUUUGAACCCUGAUGGGAAAGGUCAUGAAUUUUAAAAUGUGUCUCGCAGCAGACAGCUCUAAUCAUAAAGCUAACACUAUCUGCAGUGCAUGUCUGACCAUGUGAGACUCGCGGCUGACUGAAGGAGGCUGACUUUCAAGGGGAGGAUGCUGCUUUGAGCAGGAAGGUGUGGGAUAAGCAGAACCGAUGCCGUAUCUGUCAGUGCCAGAAUGAAGCACUGGGCUGCUGGGUCAGGGGAAAACAUGCCACUCUCAGCAGGGCUCGCAGCAGCAGCAGGACCACAUAGCACCUUGUGCUCUUCUCUGGGCUCCUUGAGAACCCAGCGUUUCCCCUUCUUGCAUGUCACUUAGGAAGUGUAACAUCUUACUGCUUUAGCUUGCCAUUCGCAUCUUCAGUUUUAAUACAGUUUCCAGCCUAUUGCAUGCAAAAGCUGGAAUGCUCUCUACUGCUAUCCUGGGAAUCGUUGCUCUGCCAUUUGCCAGGCUGUGUUUGAAAUCAAGGGAUGCUAAUGUUUUGGCAACACCUUACAGUGCCUCUGACAAAAGAGUUGUGGUUGGUGGCUAUCUCAGUCUUAAUUGUUUUCUUAAUUGGAUGCUGCUGAGGCUCAGACAGUUAUUUGUAGGAUGUGAGAAAACACUUGAUUCUCUCUCUGACUUCAUCUGCAUUUUCCAAAAUCCUUCCACUGUUCAUCUACCACAUCUUGGGCUCUGCUCUUCCUAGCAUGUAUGGAAGCGUAGUCCAGUGGUGUUAAUCACCACGUGGUGUCUAGACAUGCUGAAAACACUUAGGCAACUGUGACAUCUGUUUGGGCAGCCAAUAUUGUUGGGAAACUUGACCCUAUUUAUGAACAGUUUUUAAAACCAAGUUUCGGUCAUGACAAGAUAAUAAAUGCAAAGUGUCUUUACAUACUGUGAUCAGAGCUUCAUGGUCAACGUGCUCUCACAGGAGGGGUGGUCUUGCUCUGAAAGGGUAACACUCGGGGCAUAUGUGUUCAAUUUUUAGGUCUGGCACAAACUUCAUGUCUGACCUUCGCAAAGGUGUGUGCUUUCUUUGUGUCUGGAAUAAAUGGUGGUGGUAAUACCUGGGAUCAGACUGAUUAUGGGACUCUUCAGAUUGCGCCAGCUAAUUUGAUUGUUACCAAAAUAAAGUCCCCGUGAUCUCACCAGAAUUCAAUGCCCCAUUUUCUAGAUCUAGCAGUCUGUGAACAAGAGCUGGAGCCAGGCUGGAAUGUCUUUUGGUUCUGCAGCAACAGAAAACUCCAAGUCAGGGAUUAUUUUUAGUGUGCAACUGCUAGGUUUUUCAGUGUAUGAUGCAGAGCAGAAUUUUCAAGAGCAUCUGAUCCUUUGCUGUUAAUUGUUUACUUUGCUCCUGAAUAUGAGAUCUGAGGCUCUGAUGGAGGAUCUCUGGUAAAUUUAACUGUUAACUGUUAACGUUAUCUCCUCCAGCACCUCUGCCAAAAAUUACU